rnacentral:lncRNA from 1 species
AGGGGUUUCUGGUGGCAACAGAAGUUCAAGUAGCCACAUCAUUGUUAUGGUGUUAUUGGAUGUUUGAUGACCUUUUAUUUAUAAUAUAGAUGAUUGCUAGUGUUGAACAGUAGAUCUACUGGCCUUCUGACAGAUUUGUGGUGCAACUUCAUCAGCAAACAACCCAGUUUCAUAUGCAAAGCAUGCAUCAGCCACAUCCAUGCUAUCUCCUAAAGCAGUCAUUCUGAAACCCAAUCUGGGGACAGUGCAGACUAAAUAAAAUUUCAUUUUGAUUUGGCCUCCCGCUGAGAAUGGGACUGCUUUGUUUCAGCCGACAGAACCAGCAAGCCAGAAAGGUGUUGAAUACACAAACACUGACUUAACGGAAAAUUAUGGUCAUCGUGGUAAGGGAAAUAUUUUUAUCUGGGCCUCAGGAAAUGGUGGUCUGGCUAAUGAUCACAGCAGUGCUGAGGGUUCUGUGAACAGUAUUUGCACAUUGGCAGCUGGUGCCAUCACUGACCUCCACCUCACAACUCCCUCUACAAGGUCUGCUCAGCAAUGAUAGCUGUGGUUCCUACAGAAGUAUCCGGUGAGGUACCAGUGUGGUGGACAGGACCCUGAAACAGGACUUCAAUUUAGAGCAGGGUGAGUCGCAAUGUGUGAAUAAAAUAUUGAUGUGGCCAGCCA